AACAGGCUAAUUUGCGCAAGAGAGUACAAAUUGAGUGCGCGGUUUGGCACCUCGAUGUCGGCUUAGCUCAUCCACAUGAAUGCAAAAAUCAUGAAGGGUUCGACUGUUCGUCGAUUAAAGAGCUACAUGAGCUGGGUUUAAUACGUCGUGAGACAGUAUGGUUUCUAUCUUCUAGAGGGAAUUAAAGUAGAAUAAAGAUAGCCCCUUCGUACGAAAGGAGUUGGGUAUAUUGACCUAUGGUUUACCUAUUGUUUAUGUUAUAUAUAUAUUUUAUAUAUAUAUCAUUUACUUAUACUUAAGUAAAUUGUUCGCAUAGGCAUGGUAGGAAGGCUACGUCAGUUAAAGAUAAGUGCUGAAAGCAUUUAAGCGCGAAGCUUACUUUAGGAUACUUUAAAACGUAGUAGAACACUACGAG
rnacentral:rRNA from 1 species